ACGGAAGGCAGCAGUGGGGAAUAUUGGUCAAUGGGGGAAACCCUGAACCAGCGACGCCGCGUGAGUGAAGAAGUAUUUCGGUAUGUAAAGCUCUAUCAGUAGGGAAGAUAAUGACAGUACCUGACUAAGAAGCACCGGCUAAAUACGUGCCAGCAGCCGCGGUAAUACGUAUGGUGCAAGCGUUAUCCGGAUUUACUGGGUGUAAAGGGAGCGUAGGCGGUUUGGCAAGUCUGAUGUGAAACCCCGGGGCUUAACCCCGGGCAUGCAUUGGAAACUGUCGAACUAGAGUGUCGGAGAGGAAAGCGGAAUUCCUAGUGUAGCGGUGAAAUGCGUAGAUAUUAGGAGGAACACCAGUGGCGAAGGCGGCUUUCUGGACGAUAACUGACGCUGAGGCUCGAAAGCGUGGGGAGCAAACAGGAUUAGAUACCCA
rnacentral:rRNA from 1 species